GUGUGAUGAUGAAGUUAUUCCUGAAAAAAUAUGUUGAUAUAAAAAACGAGCUUUUUAAAACUGAACACC